rnacentral:tmRNA from 1 species
GGGGGCGACAGGUUUCGAUCUUGCGCCGGAUUGCAUGGGUUGCAGGCGGAGUUGCUCAGACUCCUUAAACGGGGCAACAAAUUUAACUGCCAACACUUAUCAAGAGCAAGUCGCUCUCGUAGCCUAAGGGCUGCAAGCUCCCGCAACGUUUGUCCAUCGGCCUGCGCGAGCUUCAUUUAGAUGGAUGUUUGAAGAGCGGUUCGCUCGUCCCGCGCUUCAAACUGGCAUAAUUCGAGAUCGAAGGCCGGAUUCCGUUGUUUCGUCGGGGCCGAACCUUCUAAAUCAAAGCGAAACUAAGCCUGUAGAAGCCUGUGUUAGUCACGCGGGACACGGCGGUUCAAUUCCGCCCGCUUCCAAAU